UGCCUUCAGGAUGGGGACAACAGACGGAAACGACUGCUAAUACCGAAUAAGUUCCAAGAGCCGCAUGGCCCAUGGAAGAAAAGGUGGCCUCUACCUGUAAGCUAUCGCCUGAAGAGGGGUUUGCGUCUGAUUAGCUGGUUGGAGGGGUAACGGCCCACCAAGGCGACGAUCAGUAGCCGGUCUGAGAGGAUGAACGGCCACACUGGAACUGAGACACGGCCCAGACUCCUACGGGAGGCAGCAUG
rnacentral:rRNA from 1 species